UGGGGAAUAUUGCACAAUGGGCGCAAGCCUGAUGCAGCGACGCCGCGUGAGGGAUGACGGCCUUCGGGUUGUAAACCUCUUUCGCCAGGGACGCGGUACCUGGCGAAGAAGGACCGGCCAACUACGUGCCAGCAGCCGCGGUAAUACGUAGGGUCCGAGCGUUGUCCGGAAUUACUGGGCGUAAAGAGCUCGUAGGUGGUUUGUCGCGUUGUUCGUGAAAACUCACAGCUCAACUGUGGGCGUGCGGGCGAUACGGGCAGACUGGAGUACUGCAGGGGAGACUGGAAUUCCUGGUGUAGCGGUGGAAUGCGCAGAUAUCAGGAGGAACACCGGUGGCGAAGGCGGGUCUCUGGGCAGUAACUGACGCUGAGGAGCGAAAGCGUGGGGAGCGAACAGGAUUAGAUACCCUUGUAGU
rnacentral:rRNA from 1 species